GAAGGAGGGAGGCAGGGUGGCCAGCGUGGGCGUCCCUUGCCCACCACAGCUCUGCUCAGCUUUUGACUCCUCAGGCUUAGUAACAGAGACACACAGAAAUCUGGUAGAUAGAAGUUUUCCUAGCAUGGAGGUAAAAUUGUGGGGAAAGCAUCAGCUGACUAAGGCCAACGCAGAAGGUGGCAACUCCAGAGCAGCAAUCCAGCACAAGGUCUUCCUCAUACAAUCUGAGAUGGACAAGAUUACAUCACACAAGAUUUUUCUGCAUGUGUAUAUGUUACUGUUGGUAGAUCCAAAUACCUUAGAGUGACCAGCAUCGAAAGAAGAAUGCAGAUGGCAGGUUUAAUUAAGAGUUAGAGCUCAGCCUCAGAACAUAUUUUGGUGCCAUGGCAUGGGGCAAGAAAUAAGUGCCUUCGAGGAUGUGCAGAGUGGCAUUCCUUCACCAGUAAGGUACCCCAGUCAGCUCCUACACUUCUGGGAGCAAGUUAUCCAGGUCAGAAGGUGCAGCUUUUGUAGGAAAAUAGAGCAAGAAGCGAUUCAAGGGUCAUCACCCCGCUGCCAGAAAUUAUUCUCAAACCUUUCCUUGUGAAAAAUCCCAAAAAUACUUGGAAAUCUAGAGAAACGGAGGGGGUGGUGCUAACAGCUGGCGGAGCACAAGGCCGGAAGCUAUACAUGUGUAGCUUUCCAUGUUGUUAGAGCUGUUACAGAGCGAUGUUUAAACAGCUACCUGCCCCCUCCACCCCCUAUUCCCACCACCUGUGAUAAUAAGUGGGUACCAUACCUGUCUGGCAUAGAGUUCCUGAGCGCCCCACUUCAUCCCAUCCUCCAUUGGCUUGUGGAAGUUUUCAGAGCUGCUCUUCAGGAGCUGGUUAGGAUAACCCCAUGAGGCAGCUUUAUACAGUCCUGAGUUCCCACCACUUGCCUGGUUGUGAGAUGUGAGCUUUGCCAAGUCAUCCAGGGACACUGCAGGUCUUAUGUGUUCAGCAGAACGGAUAAAGCCCACUGGGAAACAGUUGGGUCCCAUCGUGUGGUGAGGCUUAAGAGAUCCAUGUGAUGUACUUAGGACAAAAGGGGUGGUUCUUGUUGCUGCAGAAAUGGGGGGCAGCACCUUCCCACCAAGGUCCAGGGGGGUCCCCUCUCCUGCCUCCAAGGAGAUGGAAUGGUGCUGAGAGGAAGAGCCGGGCCUCUCUGUAUCUGUCUUUUGUACCUCAGAGUCCGAAACAGCAUUUACAAACCGAUAUUCAUACUCAGGGGGCUGCUCCCGCCUUGUCACCAUAGAGGCUUCUAAGGCAGCAUUCUCUGGCCCAGUUGUCUGGGGCAGCUCCUCAGCAGGAGGCAUCGUCUGGGCCAUGGGGGCCAGCUCUUUGACAUAUUUAGCUGGGAUGUAGAAUGGCCUGGCUCCUUUGCCCUUUCGAACAUGCCACCAGUGAUCAUUUGUUCGCCUCAGGAGCACAUAUCUCUCAUUGGGCUUUAUCGAAAUAAAGCGCCCAUCCUUGGCGGUGUACUCAAAGGCAUACUCUACCAGGACGUAGGUUUCCUCCUCUCUGCCUAACAACUCCAUCCCUGUGGCCCAGAGUGGCUUCCCGUAGAGCCGUUUCUGCUUUCUGAAAGUCAAAGGGAAAAUAAAAGUGAUGGUAAGGAUAGGCACAGGCAUGCCUAGCAAUUCAAAAUAAAAAUAAAAAUCCUCACCAAGGCUAUAGAUUUGCAAAUGGGGCUUUCAGGUGAAGGUUGCCAGGAGGUGGUGCCCCUAACACCAGUCUGAAACAUGGUGAUCUCCCCACAACCCCACCAUGUAGCUGGAUGCAUUGUGGAACGCAACUUGAACAAAUGCUGAUAUUCAAACAUCUUCCCUGCUCCUCUUUGCUUGUUAUUUAUUUGUUACUUUUAUCUACCGCCCUCAGGGUUGUGCACAAAAUCUAAAAUCUUCACAAUAUUGAUAAAAACAUAUUAACCAUACGAAGAAACAAUGCAAUUAAUUGAAAGACAGAAUACAAAUAUGACAAAUAUUUAUAUAUUGCUUUUCAACAAAAACAGUUUACAUAGAUAUAAGUAAAUAGAAAGAAAGAGAGAGAGAGAGAGAAAGAAAGAAAGAAAGAAAGAAAGAAAGAAAGAAAGAAAGAAAGAAAGAAAGAAAGAAAGAAAGAAAGAAAGAAAGAAAGAAAGAUGUCGUGAAUAAAGAACAACAGCCAAUAAGACCCCAAUCUAAAAAGACAGUUAACAGUCACGGAGGCUUUCUUAUUAACUUAAGACCCAGAUAAACAGGUUUUCUGGACCAGCACCUGCACUGUUUGCUAUCAGGUUCUCUUGGGAACCCCUUUCCAUCGCUAACUGGGAGCUGCAGUCCUCCACACAGGCCAAGCGGAGGCUUCUGUGUAAGAACACUGUGAAGAUCCAGCCAAGGUUCCAGCCCAAAUUCCAUUGGAUGGAACUUCCUGUCCAGUAGUUUGCUUCCAACAGUGGCCAGCCUGAUACCUCUGGAAGUUCACAGUCAGGAUAUGAAGGCAAUGGCUACCCUUUGUUUAGCACUUGGUCACUGGACAUAUACUAGGCUUGCUCUCACCACCAAAAGCUGGGGAGGAGCAGCAUCCCGCCAAGCUCCAUGUGUACUCCCAAGAAACAUGUGUGUGUGUCAGCAAAUAUGGGAGGAGGAAGAGGGGAAUGGGAUCAUGUGUUAGUCGUGAUCUGGGUAGGAUGGUGUUGGCCGGGGGCGGAGCCACCAUUGCACAGGGGGGUGAGAAGAACCAAGGCUGCUAUGUUCAGGGGCUGUGCCUGGCGCCCCAGCCACACUCCCUGCAUCUGAUGUCAGAUGCAGGCAGCCUGGCCUUGUUAGCAAACCGGGCCGUGCCCCCCGUUUGUGAGUAAACUUUGGCUAGCGCCAUGUUUUCAGAGCAGCUGGUAGUGCCUCUCCCUGCUUGCAAAAGCAGAAAGACGCGUUCCUAGCCAGGCUGGGAGCCCAGGGCUGGCUGAAGCCUUUCAAAAAUGGAGCCACACGACACCGUUUUGCAAGCAGGAGAGGCUUUACCGGCCAUGCUGCAAAUGUGGCGCCGGCCGGAGUUUACUUGCAAACGGGGCACACAGCCCCAUUUGCUAAUGUCACCUUGCCCCCUGCGUCUGAUGUCAGGGGGCGUGGCUUGGGCAGCGGGGGCCACUGCUGGAGGGAUGGACAGGGGCUGCCAGCAUCCUCGCUCUGCCACUGCGUUGGCCAGCCAACUCACGUAAAGGUAAAGUGUGCCGUUGAGUUGAUGUCGACUCCUGGCGACCACAGAGCCCUGUGGUUUUUCUGUGGUAGGAGGGGUUUACCAUUGCCUCCUCCCAUACAAUGUGUGAUGAUGCCUUUCAGCAUCUUCCUAUAUCACUGCUGUCCGAUAUAGGUGUUUCCCAUAGUCUGGAAAACAUACCAGCAGGGAUUCGAACUGGCAACCUCUGGCUUGCUAGUCAAGUCAUUUCCCUGCUGCUCAUGUACCCAGGGUGAAGGAAAAGCAUGUUCUGUGCCAUCUUAACCAGAUCACAGCUAGUGGAUGAUCACUCCCCACUCAUUGCCUCCUCCUACUUCAAUUUUUUGCUGACACAUGACUGUUUCUUGAGAGUGCGCACAGGGCUUAGAGGAACCCGGCUGGAUGCUCUUCUGAUCUCAUUUCUGGUCAUGAGAAGAAGUCUACUGUCUCUAUACAAGAAGUACAGAGACAUUUGUACAUUUUUUUAAUGCUGUGUUUUAAAUUUUUAAUCAGAUUUGUUUUAUAUUUUUAGCUUAAUAUUUUAAUUGUGUCUUUUUUACAAUCUUGUUUUUAAAUUUUGCUGUAAACCACCUUGGGAUGGUUUUAAUGAAAGGUGGUAUAUAGUAAGUAAGUAAGUAAGUAAAACUUUAUUUUGGUCGUAGACCAGCAAUACA